AGCGGGACAUUUGAGGAUGGGGUGACUGCGUACCUUUUGUAUAAUGGGUCAGCGACUUAUAUUCUGUAGCAAGGUUAACCGUAUAGGGGAGCCGUAGGGAAACCGAGUCUUAACUGGGCGAAUGAGUUGCAGGGUAUAGACCC
rnacentral:rRNA from 2 species